UCUCGAUAGCGUAAAAGUUAACUCGAUUUUGUAUGGAGUUGGAACGUUUACCCAUGUUUGCCGCUAGAGGUAUUGAUCCAACUGUAUACAAAUUAGAGCUCACUUUUACGCUAUCGA
rnacentral:pre_miRNA from 9 species